rnacentral:rRNA from 1 species
CACCGCGGUUAUACGAGGGACCCAAGUUGAUAGACAGCGGCGUAAAGAGUGGUUAAGGACAACCAAAAACUAAAGCCGAACGCUCUCAAAGCUGUUAUACGCACUACGAAAGUAUGAAGCUCGACCACGAAAGUGGCUUUACUCCCCCUGAACCCACGAAAGCUAGGAAA